AUACGGAGGGUGCAAGCGUUGUUCGGAAUCACUGGGCGUAAAGGGCGCGCAGGCGGUUUGGUAAGUCAGAUGGGAAAGCCCACGGCUCAACCGUGGAAGUGCAUUUGAAACUGUCAGACUUGAGUACUAGAGGGGAAAGUGGAAUUCCCGGUGUAGAGGUGAAAUUCGUAGAUAUCGGGAGGAAUACCGGUGGCGAAGGCGACUUUCUGGCUAGAUACUGACGCUGAGGCGCGAAAGCGUGGGGAGCAAACAGGAUUAGAAACCCCAGUAGUCC
rnacentral:rRNA from 1 species